AUGAACGCUAGCUACAGGCUUAACACAUGCAAGUCGAGGGGCAGCAUGAACUUAGCUUGCUAAGUUUGAUGGCGACCGGCGCACGGGUGAGUAACACGUAUCCAACCUGCCGAUGACUCGGGGAUAGCCUUUCGAAAGAAAGAUUAAUACCCGAUGGCAUAGUUCUUCCGCAUGGUAGAACUAUUAAAGAAUUUCGGUCAUCGAUGGGGAUGCGUUCCAUUAGGUUGUUGGCGGGGUAACGGCCCACCAAGCCUUCGAUGGAUAGGGGUUCUGAGAGGAAGGUCCCCCACAUUGGAACUGAGACACGGUCCAAACUCCUACGGGAGGCAGCAGUGAGGAAUAUUGGUCAAUGGACGAGAGUCUGAACCAGCCAAGUAGCGUGAAGGAUGACUGCCCUAUGGGUUGUAAACUUCUUUUAUACGGGAAUAAAGUGAGGCACGUGUGCCUUUUUGUAUGUACCGUAUGAAUAAGGAUCGGCUAACUCCGUGCCAGCAGCCGCGGUAAUACGGAGGAUCCGAGCGUUAUCCGGAUUUAUUGGGUUUAAAGGGAGCGUAGGCGGACGCUUAAGUCAGUUGUGAAAGUUUGCGGCUCAACCGUAAAAUUGCAGUUGAUACUGGGUGUCUUGAGUACAGUAGAGGCAGGCGGAAUUCGUGGUGUAGCGGUGAAAUGCUUAGAUAUCACGAAGAACUCCGAUUGCGAAGGCAGCCUGCUGGACUGUAACUGACGCUGAUGCUCGAAAGUGUGGGUAUCAAACAGGAUUAGAUACCCUGGUAGUCCACACAGUAAACGAUGAAUACUCGCUGUUUGCGAUAUACAGUAAGCGGCCAAGCGAAAGCGUUAAGUAUUCCACCUGGGGAGUACGCCGGCAACGGUGAAACUCAAAGGAAUUGACGGGGGCCCGCACAAGCAGUGGAGUAUGUGGUUUAAUUCGAAGCAACGCGAAGAACCUUACCAGGUCUUGACAUCCGAUGCAUAGCACAGAGAUGUGUGAAAUCCUUCGGGACAUCGAGACAGGUGGUGCAUGGUUGUCGUCAGCUCGUGUCGUGAGAUGUUGGGUUAAGUCCCGCAACGAGCGCAACCCCUAUCUUCAGUAGCCAGCAGGCAAGGCUGGGCACUCUGGAGAGACUGCCGUUGACAAAACGGAGGAAGGUGGGGAUGACGUCAAAUCAGCACGGCCCUUACGUCCGGGGCUACACACGUGUUACAAUGGGGGGUACAGAAGGCAGCUACACGGCGACGUGAUGCUAAUCCCGAAAGCCUCUCUCAGUUCGGAUUGGAGUCUGCAACCCGACUCCAUGAAGCUGGAUUCGCUAGUAAUCGCGCAUCAGCCACGGCGCGGUGAAUACGUUCCCGGGCCUUGUACACACCGCCCGUCAAGCCAUGAAAGCCGGGGGUACCUGAAGUGCGUAACCGCAAGGAGCGCCCUAGGGUAAAACUGGUGAUUGGGGCU
rnacentral:rRNA from 1 species